rnacentral:rRNA from 1 species
GAAGACGGCCAUAGUCGGUUGGAAACACCUGUUCCCUUUCCGAACACAGAAGUUAAGCUUCCGACGUUGCUGGUUUUAGUGCCCCGCAAGGCGCGAAUCCCUCAAGCUGUCUUUC